rfam:Jeotgalibacillus soli Cunha et al. 2012 strain P9 contig00018, whole genome shotgun sequence.
CAACCUUUAAAUGAAGUCCCGUGAGGCUUUCAAAGGCGAAUUGAGUGAUGAACCAGGUGAGAACUAAGAAUUUUCCUGGACAGAAGCUUGAAAACACCUUUGGGGACCUCCUCAAAGGUGUUUUUUUAU